AUGACAUUCUAUGUCAGUGUCUCUGAGUUGGUCAUCAUGAAUUAUAAUCAUACUCUUUUAUAAUAACGAAUUGACCAACAGAAGCGCGUGAUAUGAAAACGAAACCUCUCAAAAGAGAAAUGAUGACCUAAUCAGAAGCAAGAAAGUUAAAAUUAAAACUGUCAAGAGCAAUUAGUAAAUAUGAUGACAUAAACGAUUGAGGAUUUCUUUACAUCUGCAUAGCAAUACGAACACCCAAGGGCGACCUAGCUGUAAUUGAUGAGAUAACACACGGACAAGAAUAACAGCGACAGAAAUGUUAGUUUAUAUGCGGGAAAUUCGAUUUGUAAAAAUACAUUUAUUAGGAACGAGACAAGUAAUAGUUUACAUGAACAAAACUUAAUUCGAAGGAUCAAUAAACAAGUUAAGUAGAAACAAUGGAUUGAUAUUAGUUUAGUUUGAAUAAAGAAAUCCAAAAUUG